rnacentral:rRNA from 1 species
AAUGAACGAAAGUUUGACACAGCGACACCGCGUGUGGGAUGACGGAUCUAGGUUUGUAAACCACUUUCAGGAGGGAAGAAAAUGACGGUACCCCCACAAGAAGCCCCGGCCAACUACGUGCCAGCAGCCGCGGUAAUACGUAGGGGGCGAGCGUUGUCCGGAUUUAUUGGGCGUAAAGAGCUCGUAGGCGGUUCAACAAGUCGGUAGUAAAAGUUCAGGGCUCAACCCUGAAAUGCUAUCGAUACUGUUGGACUAGGAUACGGCAGAGGUGAGUGGAAUUCCGAGUGUAGCGGUGAAAUGCGUAGAUAUUCGGAGGGACACCAAUUGCGAAGGCAGCUCACUGGGCCGCUAUCGACGCUGAGGAGCGAAAGCUAGGGGAGCAAACAGGAUU